CACGUAGGAGGCGAGCGUUGUCCGGAAUCAUUGGGCGUAAAGAGCGCGCAGGCGGCUUGGCAAGUCGGGUGUGAAAUCCCGGGGCUCAACCCCGUGACUGCAUCCGAUACUGUCAGGCUAGAGGUAGGUAGGGGAGAUCGGAAUUCCUGGUGUGACGGUGAAAUGCGCAGAUAUCAGGAGGAACACCGGUGGCGAAGGCGGAUCUCUGGGCCUUACCUGACGCUCAGGCGCGAAAGCUAGGGGAGCGAACAGG
rnacentral:rRNA from 1 species